rnacentral:rRNA from 1 species
UACGUAGGGGGCUAGCGUUGUCCGGAUUUAUUGGGCGUAAAGAGCUUGUAGGCGGCUGUCCACGUCGGAUGUGAAAGCCCGGGCUUAACCCGGGUCUGCAUUCGAUACGGGCAGACUAGAGUGUGGUAGGGGAGAUCGGAAUUCCUGGUGUAGCGGUGAAAUGCGCAGAUAUCAGGAGGAACACCAACGGCGAAGGCAGCUCGCUGGGACGGUACUGACACUGAGGCGCGAAAGCAUGGGGAGCGAACAGG